rnacentral:rRNA from 2 species
UAAGCGGAGGAAAAGAAACUAACAAGGAUUCCCCUAGUAACGGCGAGUGAAGCGGGAAGAGCUCAAAUUUGAAAUCUGGUGGCCUCAGGUCAUCCGAGUUGUAAUCUAUAGAAGUGUUUUCCGUGCUGGCUCAUGUACAAGUCCCUUGGAACAGGGCGUCAUAGAGGGUGAGAAUCCCGUCCUUGACAUGAACUACCAGUGCUCUGUGAUACAUUUUCAACGAGUCGAGUUGUUUGGGAAUGCAGCUCAAAAUGGGUGGUAAAUUCCAUCUAAAGCUAAAUAUUGGCGAGAGACCGAUAGCGAACAAGUACCGUGAGGGAAAGAUGAAAAGCACUUUGGAAAGAGAGUUAAACAGUAUGUGAAAUUGUUGAAAGGGAAACGAUUGAAGUCAGUCGUGCUCUUUGGAUUCAGCCGGUUCUGCCGGUGUACUUCCUUUGAGUGGGGUCAACAUCAGUUUUGAUCGCUGGAUAAAGGCUGGAGGAACGUAGUACCCUCGGGUAAACUUAUAGCCUCCUGUCACAUACAGUGGUUGGGACUGAGGAACGCAGCACGCCUUUAUGGCCGGGAUUCGUCCACGUACGUGCUUAGGAUGUUGACAUAAUGGCUUUAAACGACCCGUCUUGAAACAC